CAGUCGCCACGGUAAUACGUAGGUCCCGAGCGUUGUCCGGAUUUAUUGGGCGUAAAGCGAGCGCAGGCGGUUAGAUAAGUCUGAAGUUAAAGGCUGUGGCUUAACCAUAGUACGCUUUGGAAACUGUUUAACUUGAGUGCAAGAGGGGAGAGUGGAAUUCCAUGUGUAGCGGUGAAAUGCGUAGAUAUAUGGAGGAACACCGGUGGCGAAAGCGGCUCUCUGGCUUGUAACUGACGCUGAGGCUCGAAAGCGUGGGGAGCAAACAGGAUUAGAUACCCGUGUAGUCCCUGUCUCUUAUACC
rnacentral:rRNA from 1 species